CACCUCGAUGUCGGCUCAUCUUAUCCCGGGGGUGGAGAAGCUCCCAAGGGUAUGGCUGUUCGCCAUUUAAAAAGAUACGCGAGCUGGGUUCAGACCGUUGAGUAAUAGUAGCAAGUAGUUAGCAUUAAGUAGCAAGGAAAAAAUAUUUUUUAUCCUUACUACUAACUACUGAAACCUAACUACUAUUUUUCAGCAAUCUGAAUCCCAUUGAGAAAUUAAAAAUGAUUAUGUUAUAAAAUAUUUUCGUUUAUGAAAUGAAUGAUAGAAGAUACCCCACGUCGCUCUUUUAGAGCUAUGCGGGGCGAGCAAUCAAAUCACGGCGGCCAUAAUAAGAAAUUAUUAUGAGUUAAGCUAAUUAAUUCGGUGAAAUCCUAACGAGGACAAUACCGAGCUCAAUAAAAUGAGUGUAGAGACUAUACAUUAGCUAUCCAAAAAUGGAUGAAGAUAUAGUCCGAUGCGUUUAGUAAUAAACGAUAUCAUGCGUGAGACAGGUUGGUCUCCUAUCUACUGCAGGCGUUGAUUCUUGAGGGGAUUUGACUCUAGUACGAGAGGACCGAGUUGAACUGACCUCUGGUCUACCUGCUGUUUUGCCAAAAGCAUCGCAGGGUAGCUAAGUCGGGAAUGGAUAACCUCUGAAAGCAUAUAAGAGGGAAGCCAACCCCAAGAUUAGGAAUCUUUAAGGAUCGUGAGAGAUUAUCACGUUGAUAGGCGCUAGGUAUAAGUACAGCAAUGUAUUGAGCCGAGGCGUACUAAUUUCCCGAUCUUAUUAGGAAA
rfam:Parcubacteria bacterium GW2011_GWC1_34_10 TR50_C0001, whole genome shotgun sequence.